rnacentral:rRNA from 1 species
GAUGAACGCUGGCGGCGUGCCUAAUACAUGCAAGUCGAGCGAACAGAUGAGGAGCUUGCUCCUCUGACGUUAGCGGCGGACGGGUGAGUAACACGUGGAUAACCUACCUAUAAGACUGGGAUAACUUCGGGAAACCGGAGCUAAUACCGGAUAAUAUAUUGAACCGCAUGGUUCAAUAGUGAAAGACGGUUUUGCUGUCACUUAUAGAUGGAUCCGCGCCGCAUUAGCUAGUUGGUAAGGUAACGGCUUACCAAGGCAACGAUGUGUAGCCGACCUGAGAGGGUGAUCGGCCACACUGGAACUGAGACACGGUCCAGACUCCUACGGGAGGCAGCAGUAGGGAAUCUUCCGCAAUGGGCGAAAGCUUGACGGAGCAACGCCGCGUGAGUGAUGAAGGUCUUCGGAUCGUAAAACUCUGUUAUUAGGGAAGAACAAAUGUGUAAGUAACUAUGCACGUCUUGACGGUACCUAAUCAGAAAGCCACGGCUAACUACGUG